rnacentral:rRNA from 1 species
GAUGAACGCUGGCGGCGUGCUUAACACAUGCAAGUCGAACGGUGAACACGGAGCUUGCUCUGUGGGAUCAGUGGCGAACGGGUGAGUAACACGUGAGCAACCUGCCCCUGACUCUGGGAUAAGCGCUGGAAACGGCGUCUAAUACUGGCUAUGUGACGUGACCGCAUGGUCUGCGUUUGGAAAGAUUUUUCGGUUGGGGAUGGGCUCGCGGCCUAUCAGCUGGUUGGUGAGGUAAUGGCUCACCAAGGCGUCGACGGGUAGCCGGCCUGGGAUGGUGACCGGCCACACUGGGAUUGAGACACGGCCCAGACUCCUAAGGGAGGCAGCAGUGGGGAAGAUUGCACAAUGGGCGAGAGCCUGAUGUAGUAACGCCGCGUGAGGGAUGACGGCCUUCGGGUUGUAAACCUUUUUUAGCAGGGAAGAAGCGAAAGUGACGGUACCUGCAGAAAAAGCGCCGGCUAACUACGUG